CAGGCCUGAAGGGAGAGACCUGAGAGCUUGAGAAGCAACACAAUUUGCUGGUGUUCUCCUAAUAUACUUGGCACUGCUGUUGGGACUUCAACCUGAUUAGCUGACCCUGCUGGGAACCUGGCACAAGGUCAGGCUCAGCUCUGUGUGUCCCACUCUUGCUGUGGUGAUAUAAUUAAUGCUGAUGGCAGCCUCCAAGAGGUGAAUUCAAGUACCUGAGAGGAAACAGCUGAGUUGAUCUACUGCUGAGACCAACUGGUAACUGUUCUCUUGUCUUCUGCAAUGAAGUCUUGAUGAUCGCAGGUGCAUAUUUCAGGGGCUUUUGCAGGCUUCCCUUCCAGACUCCAGGGAUGGCUGACGUCAGGGUGCUACAUUUGGGCUCAUCGUACUUUUAUCUGGUGUUAAUGCCUUCCAUGAACAGCAGGAAUGUGGUCCGCAAGGCGAGCUGCCGGGGCGGCACGGGGAGAGGGGCCCAGGCAGGGCAGGGGGGAGCCAAGCAGGCAGCCCUGCAUCAGGGCAUGGCACGAUACUGCCCACCCUGCCAGGCACCAAUUGGUUUGCUGGAGGGGACCAUGGUCAUUUAUGGCCUUGUGCAGGGAGGGCCUGCCCACUGGCACCCUGUCUGUCUGUCCAGGCAGCUGGCAGAGUUGUAUGUGGCACCACAAGCUACGCGCCGAGCUAUUUUUAAGAUGCCUGGGCUGCAUCCCAAGUAUAGAGCACUCUAUUUCUGGUGCAAAAUGAUCUUCCUGGGUGGGGGAUCCAGAGAGUUCUUUUUCUUUUAUUUUUUUUUUUUCAUAUGAAACACGUGGGUUUGGAGGCAAUGAGAGAAACAGCUGGGCACAGCUGGAAGAGAGGAACAGAAAAGAUGGAGCAAGCUGGUGGUCAUGAAGGUCUUGCCCAGAGGGAUUGCUCUGUGCUGGCUGCUCUUGGUGAACGCUCGUUGCCAAUGGUUUGCUCAUGGAUCAGGAAUCAAAAAGGCC